AACGAACGCUGGCGGCAGGCUUAACACAUGCAAGUCGAACGAGAAGCUUACCUUCGGGUAAGUGGACAGUGGCAGACGGGUGAGUAACGCGUGGGAAACUACCUAUCGAUUCGGAACAACAUUAAGAAAUUGAUGCUAAUACCGUAUACGCCCUAAGGGGGAAAGAUUUAUCGUCGAUAGAUGUGCCCGCGUUUGAUUAGCUAGUUGGUGAGGUAAUGGCUCACCAAGGCGACGAUCAAUAGCUGGUCUGAGAGGAUGAUCAGCCACACUGGGACUGAGACACGGCCCAGACUCCUACGGGAGGCAGCAGUGGGGAAUAUUGGACAAUGGGCGCAAGCCUGAUCCAGCCAUGCCGCGUGAGUGAUGAAGGCCCUAGGGUUGUAAAGCUCUUUCAACGGUGAAGAUAAUGACGGUAACCGUAGAAGAAGCCCCGGCUAACUUCGUG
rnacentral:rRNA from 1 species